rnacentral:rRNA from 1 species
AUUGAACGCUGGCGGCAUGCCUUACACAUGCAAGUCGAACGGCAUCGCGGGAAAGCUUGCUUUCCUGGCGGCGAGUGGCGAACGGGUGAGUAACACAUCGGAACGUUCCGGCUAGUGGGGGAUAACCCGUCGAAAGACGGGCUAAUACCGCAUACGCUCUUCGGAGGAAAGCAGGGGACCUUUGGGCCUUGCGCUAGUCGAGCGGCCGAUGUCCGAUUAGCUAGUUGGUGGGGUAAAGGCCUACCAAGGCGACGAUCGGUAGCGGGUCUGAGAGGACGAUCCGCCACACUGGGACUGAGACACGGCCCAGACUCCUACGGGAGGCAGCAGUGGGGAAUCUUGGACAAUGGGGGCAACCCUGAUCCAGCAAUGCCGCGUGGGUGAAGAAGGCCUUCGGGUUGUAAAGCCCUUUCGGCAGGGAAGAAAUCGGCGGGGCGAAUAACCCUGCUGGAUGACGGUACCUGCAGAAGAAGCACCGGCUAACUACGUG